GGGCGGAGGAAAUUUGAGAGGAGCUGUCCUUAGUACGAGAGGACCGGGAUGGACGUACCUCUGGUGUACCGGUUGCAGACCAACUGCACAGCCGGGUAGCUAUGUAUGGAACGGAUAAACGCUGAAGGCAUCUAAGCGUGAAGCCGCCCUCAAGAUGAGAUUUCCCAUUCUUCGGAAGUAAGGUCCCUUAAAGAUAAUGAGGUAG
rnacentral:rRNA from 1 species